rnacentral:rRNA from 1 species
AAUGGGCGAAAGCCUGAUCCAGCAAUGCCGCGUGAGUGAAGAAGGCCUUCGGGUUGUAAAGCUCUUUCAAUCGAGAAGAAAAAAUCAUGACUAAUAAUCAUGAUUAAUGACGGUAUCGAUAGAAGAAGCACCGGCUAACUACGUGCCAGCAGCCGCGGUAAUACGUAGGGUGCUAGCGUUAAUCGGAAUUACUGGGCGUAAAGGGUGCGCAGGCGGUUUUGUAAGUCAGAUGUGAAAUCCCCGGGCUUAACCUGGGAAUUGCGUUUGAAACUACAAAACUAGAGUGUAGCAGAGGGAGGUGGAAUUUCAUGUGUAGCAGUGAAAUGCGUAGAGAUAUGGAAGAACAUCGAUGGCGAAGGCAGCCUCCUGGGUUAACACUGACGCUCAUGCACGAAAGCGUGGGGAGCAAA